AGCUGUAACAAUUUAUGUAUUAUUGAUUGUUGUAUUUUGAUGUAUUGAUGUUGUACAUUACAAUUUCUAUAUAUAGAGGAGAAGAUGGUAGUGGAGUGUGUGAUAGUGGAGGUGGAUGGUAGUGGAGUGUGUGAUAGUGGAGGUGGUAGGUGUGGAGUGUGUGAUAGUGAAUUCUAACAUAAGCAUUAGAGAUUGUAAAUGUGCUGGAUUUCAUGUUGUGCAUUUUCUCAUAUAGUUUUAUCAUUUCUUUAUGCCGUCAUAUGGAUACAGCAGAUGAAGAAGGGUUAAUUACAUCAAGACCCCUUAACUAUUGGUAAAUAUCACAUUACUCCCUCAUGUAUGAAUCCAUACAUUUUAACCCCCUCAACUAUAAAUCCGUACAUAUACACCCUUUUGGAGGAGGCAAGAAUGGGUGUAAGUGAUGCAUUUUUAUGGUUAAGGAGGUCAAAAUGUACAGGUUCAGAGAUGAGGGGGGAAAGAUGAUAUUCACUAAAAGUUGAAGUGAUCUUAGUGUAAUUAACCCGACAAAUAAUCACUAAAUGCACAUAGGGAUGAAAUAUUCCAAUAACUUACCCAUUUGACUUCUGGG